AACGCGAAGAACCUUACCUGGGCUAGAAUGCUGGUGGACCGUGGGUGAAAGCCCAUUUUGUAGCAAUACACCGCCAGUAAGGUGCUGCAUGGCUGUCGUCAGCUCGUGCCGUGAGGUGUUGGGUUAAGUCCCGCAACGAGCGCAACCCCCAUCACUAGUUGCCAUCAGGUAAUGCUGGGAACUCUAGUGAAACUGCCGUCGUAAGACGUGAGGAAGGAGGGGAUGAUGUCAAGUCAUCAUGGCCUUUAUGCCCAGGGCUACACACGUGCUACAAUGGGGAGGACAAAGGGCUGCAACACAGUGAUGUGAAGCUAAUCCCAAAAACCUCUUCUCAGUUCAGAUCGCAGUCUGCAACUCGACUGCGUGAAGCUGGAAUCGCUAGUAAUCGUAUAUCAGCAAUGAUACGGUGAAUACGUUCCCGGGCCUUGUA
rnacentral:rRNA from 1 species